ensembl:lncRNA
AUGGCCAGGAGGGACAGGCCCUCCCAGAAACUGCCGGGAGGGAUAAGCACUCCCAGAAUCUCAGUCCCAGCCCUGGCAGGCCCCAGGCUGAGAUGCUGCCUGUGCCAGCCCCUGUGCAGUGCUGCAGGGUGGGUGCUCCUUGUUCCCCGGGGGCUGUGCCUCCUGCAGAAAGAGAAAAAUCUCUUGAGGAACAUCCAAAGAGGUGCCUGGCACUCGGAGAUGUGUCUCACUGAAGGUGACAGCAGCAGAGAGCAUUGCAAAUCCAAGGGGAAGAGGACAAACAAACACCUGAGCCUGGAGGGAGCAGCUCCUCCCUGGGCCCUGCAGGAGUGCAGCAGCCUCAGAGCAUCUUCCCCUGCCCUGCCCCCAGCUCACAGGCUCCUCGCUGCUUCUGAGAUGAAAGGUGGAAAAUUCCCAUCUGUGCUGCUGGAUUCUGGUUGUUCCUUUGGAAAGCUGAGGCCCAAGUCAUUGAUGGGGUCAGAAGAAGAUUAUCCAGGGCCUGUGGCAGCAGGCACAGGGAAUGUGGGAUCUCAGUUGGGCAUCCCCGUGGCCCUUGCCAGCUUCCAGCUCCACAGGAAGAGUGGAUGGAGCCACAGCCACUGUCCUGCCCUUGCAUAGCAGGGCAGGGAGCAGGGCAGAGCAGAGAGAGAUGCUGUGUGCCAAAUGUCCCCUUGCUCCUUCCCAGCAGCCACUCCCUCUCCUUUCACUCCUUUAUGGACACACCAGGCUCCCGGGAGGUUUUCCCAGCCCAGCCUGGAGCUCCUGAGCAUUGAGGGAAUUCACGUGCUGCCCACAGCCCUCCACACUUCUCACUGCUUCUCAUUAACUCCUCCUCUGGCCCAGCUUUGUCUGGGAAAACAUCCCAGAUCCAGCAGGGAACAGCGAUGUCUGCACCGGUUCAACACACAGGCUCCGAGUGGUGCAACAGCACCUCCACCUUUCUGCCCUAAAAUUCCUCUUGAAGCACAUUCCUCCCUAGAAAACCUCUCCAAACACAGCCCUUGAUGGGCCCAUGGAAUACAGGUCUGAGCUCUGUGCCACCAGCUGGGAAACGGGGGACAAAGCCCAGAAAAUGCAGCGGGCCUGUGAUAAAAAAUUUACAUUAUAAAGAAAGGAAAUACAGAAUAAUGCAAUGAAUGGUGUCUUCUCUCAAGAAGAAAAAAAAGAGCUGCUCUCCCAUGGGUGAUGUUGAUGUAGGUUCUCAUAUUACAGGGGUUUGUAUUCGGGUUAAAGAAAAAAAAGAAUAAGCAUAGAAAGCCCGUUUUCAGUAAAAAUGAAUCGUGUUAAUAAGGCAGCAAGUGCUGAGAACAGGGAAAGCUCUGCCUGUCCAACUGCCCCUGGUGGCUAUUUCUGGCUUACAAGGCACUUGAAGCAUCCUGGCAGCCCACAGUGGGAAAUGUUGUCCAGAUCCAGCAGGAUGGACACUCAGCUAAACAGAAUCCCCCAGGUUCGUGAGGACUUUCCAGCCAAACCUGCCAGCAAGGCAGCCUCUCACAGGAGCAAUUCAUAAACUGCAGCAAAAAAGCAAAUAAUUCAACCCCGAACUCCUCCAAGCCUUGUUCUAUAAAUAAAGCCGUUGUAACACAGUUUUUAUAUUUCA